AAAUUUAGGUUACGCACCUUUAAACCGGGGGCCUUCAAAGUCCCAAACAGAGACCACUACUCUAAUUUCU
rnacentral:tRNA from 1 species